AUCUUUGCGCUUGGGGCAAUGACGCAGCUAGUGAGGUUCUAACCGAGGCGCGUCUAUUGCUGGUUGAAAACUAUUUCCAAACCCCCUCUUAGGCCUGGGUUACGCCUUGGCCUUGGAGAAUUUCUGGAAGGGCUCCCUUCGGGGUAAAUCCCUACAGUUCUUAGUC
rnacentral:snRNA from 1 species